rnacentral:pre_miRNA from 8 species
GUUCCAGACACAUCUCAUCUGAUAUACAAUAUUUUCUUAAAUUGUAAAAAGAGAAAUUAUUGUAUAUCAGAUGAGAUGUGUCUGGGGU